UACGAAGGGGGCUAGCGUUGUUCGGAAUUACUGGGCGUAAAGCGCGCGUAGGCGGAUUGCUAAGUCAGGGGUGAAAUCCCGAGGCUCAACCUCGGAACUGCCUUUGAUACUGGUGAUCUGGAGUCCGGAAGAGGUUGGUGGAAUUCCGAGUGUAGAGGUGAAAUUCGUAGAUAUUCGGAGGAACACCAGAGGCGAAGGCGGCCAACUGGUCCGGUACUGACGCUGAGGCGCGAAAGCGUGGGGAGCAAACAGGG
rnacentral:rRNA from 1 species